rfam:Picea glauca, whole genome shotgun sequence.
AUGUACAUUCCUACAACAUAGCGUUAAUGCAAUGAAUCCCAUUAGAACUUUGCAGUUAAGUGAACUCGGGCUAGAGUAGUACCGGGAUGGGUGAUCGCCCGAGAAGUCCUAUUGUUUUACAUG